rnacentral:rRNA from 1 species
GGGUUGUGAGGUUAAGCGACUAAGCGUACACGGUGGAUGCCCUGGCAGUCAGAGGCGAUGAAGGACGUGCUAAUCUGCGAUAAGCGUCGGUAAGGUGAUAUGAACCGUUAUAACCGGCGAUUUCCGAAUGGGGAAACCCAGUGUGUUUCGACACACUAUCAUUAACUGAAUCCAUAGGUUAAUGAGGCGAACCGGGGGAACUGAAACAUCUAAGUACCCCGAGGAAAAGAAAUCAACCGAGAUUCCCCCAGUAGCGGCGAGCGAACGGGGAGCAGCCCAGAGCCUGAAUCAGUGUGUGUGUUAGUGGAAGCGUCUGGAAAGGCGCGCGAUACAGGGUGACAGCCCCGUACACAAAAAUGCACAUGCUGUGAGCUCGAUGAGUAGGGCGGGACACGUGGUAUCCUGUCUGAAUAUGGGGGGACCAUCCUCCAAGGCUAAAUACUCCUGACUGACCGAUAGUGAACCAGUACCGUGAGGGAAAGGCGAAAAGAACCCCGGCGAGGGGAGUGAAAAAGAACCUGAAACCGUGUACGUACAAGCAGUGGGAGCACGCUUAGGCGUGUGACUGCGUACCUUUUGUAUAAUGGGUCAGCGACUUAUAUUCUGUAGCAAGGUUAACCGAAUAGGGGAGCCGAAGGGAAACCGAGUCUUAACUGGGCGUUAAGUUGCAGGGUAUAGACCCGAAACCCGGUGAUCUAGCCAUGGGCAGGUUGAAGGUUGGGUAACACUAACUGGAGGACCGAACCGACUAAUGUUGAAAAAUUAGCGGAUGACUUGUGGCUGGGGGUGAAAGGCCAAUCAAACCGGGAGAUAGCUGGUUCUCCCCGAAAGCUAUUUAGGUAGCGCCUCGUGAAUUCAUCUCCGGGGGUAGAGCACUGUUUCGGCAAGGGGGUCAUCCCGACUUACCAACCCGAUGCAAACUGCGAAUACCGGAGAAUGUUAUCACGGGAGACACACGGCGGGUGCUAACGUCCGUCGUGAAGAGGGAAACAACCCAGACCGCCAGCUAAGGUCCCAAAGUCAUGGUUAAGUGGGAAACGAUGUGGGAAGGCCCAGACAGCCAGGAUGUUGGCUUAGAAGCAGCCAUCAUUUAAAGAAAGCGUAAUAGCUCACUGGUCGAGUCGGCCUGCGCGGAAGAUGUAACGGGGCUAAACCAUGCACCGAAGCUGCGGCAGCGACGCUUAUGCGUUGUUGGGUAGGGGAGCGUUCUGUAAGCCUGUGAAGGUGUGCUGUGAGGCAUGCUGGAGGUAUCAGAAGUGCGAAUGCUGACAUAAGUAACGAUAAAGCGGGUGAAAAGCCCGCUCGCCGGAAGACCAAGGGUUCCUGUCCAACGUUAAUCGGGGCAGGGUGAGUCGACCCCUAAGGCGAGGCCGAAAGGCGUAGUCGAUGGGAAACAGGUUAAUAUUCCUGUACUUGGUGUUACUGCGAAGGGGGGACGGAGAAGGCUAUGUUGACCGGGCGACGGUUGUCCCGGUUUAAGCGUGUAGGCUGGUUUUCCAGGCAAAUCCGGAAAAUCAAGGCUGAGGCGUGAUGACGAGGCACUACGGUGCUGAAGCAACAAAUGCCCUGCUUCCAGGAAAAGCCUCUAAGCAUCAGGUAACAUCAAAUCGUACCCCAAACCGACACAGGUGGUCAGGUAGAGAAUACCAAGGCGCUUGAGAGAACUCGGGUGAAGGAACUAGGCAAAAUGGUGCCGUAACUUCGGGAGAAGGCACGCUGAUAUGUAGGUGAAGUCCCUCGCGGAUGGAGCUGAAAUCAGUCGAAGAUACCAGCUGGCUGCAACUGUUUAUUAAAAACACAGCACUGUGCAAACACGAAAGUGGACGUAUACGGUGUGACGCCUGCCCGGUGCCGGAAGGUUAAUUGAUGGGGUCAGCGCAAGCGAAGCUCUUGAUCGAAGCCCCGGUAAACGGCGGCCGUAACUAUAACGGUCCUAAGGUAGCGAAAUUCCUUGUCGGGUAAGUUCCGACCUGCACGAAUGGCGUAAUGAUGGCCAGGCUGUCUCCACCCGAGACUCAGUGAAAUUGAACUCGCUGUGAAGAUGCAGUGUACCCGCGGCAAGACGGAAAGACCCCGUGAACCUUUACUAUAGCUUGACACUGAACAUUGAGCCUUGAUGUGUAGGAUAGGUGGGAGGCUUAGAAGUGUGGACGCCAGUCUGCAUGGAGCCGACCUUGAAAUACCACCCUUUAAUGUUUGAUGUUCUAACGUUGACCCGUAAUCCGGGUUGCGGACAGUGUCUGGUGGGUAGUUUGACUGGGGCGGUCUCCUCCUAAAGAGUAACGGAGGAGCACGAAGGUUGGCUAAUCCUGGUCGGACAUCAGGAGGUUAGUGCAAUGGCAUAAGCCAGCUUGACUGCGAGCGUGACGGCGCGAGCAGGUGCGAAAGCAGGUCAUAGUGAUCCGGUGGUUCUGAAUGGAAGGGCCAUCGCUCAACGGAUAAAAGGUACUCCGGGGAUAACAGGCUGAUACCGCCCAAGAGUUCAUAUCGACGGCGGUGUUUGGCACCUCGAUGUCGGCUCAUCACAUCCUGGGGCUGAAGUAGGUCCCAAGGGUAUGGCUGUUCGCCAUUUAAAGUGGUACGCGAGCUGGGUUUAGAACGUCGUGAGACAGUUCGGUCCCUAUCUGCCGUGGGCGCUGGAGAACUGAGGGGGGCUGCUCCUAGUACGAGAGGACCGGAGUGGACGCAUCACUGGUGUUCGGGUUGUCAUGCCAAUGGCACUGCCCGGUAGCUAAAUGCGGAAGAGAUAAGUGCUGAAAGCAUCUAAGCACGAAACUUGCCCCGAGAUGAGUUCUCCCUGAC